GUAUAAGAUCGACCGCCGCACGACUUUGAUGAAUCAUCAGACCUUGCAUGGAAAUUUCCCCUUGCUUCUUUAAUUGAUUGAUGUGUUUCCACACGUCCUUUUUUUUUGGAAAAUCUAAUUAGCACCGUCGCACCAUGUCUUUCCGGUGCAUACAGGUCCGAGCAUUAAAAAAAGGCACCCGUCGCUUUCAACUUGCUCCACAACAACGUGGACUCUAUAUAUGCAUGCAUGCGGGCUGAAAAAAUGAUUUAUCUCACAGAUUAAUAAUUUGAUUGAAGAUUCAUCUUUACGUUAGGUUCGUCUCGACGAGAUCUUCAAGAUAAGAUCCCAUGUUGACAUGUUUCGUUGAUUUUUUUUCAUCAUUCCUAGUUGCCACAUUUAUGUCAUAAUAUUUGUCAUCUUACGGAUAUGCAGUUGUCAUAAAAAUUAUACACAGUUACCAAUAUUACAGUGUUAUGUGGAGCUAAAAAUAAACAAGUAAAUGCAUUAACCAGCACAAGCACAACGAAUCAAGUAUUUUAGUGGGGUAUAUCGACAUUCAUAAACCUGAUAACCAAGUUAAUUUAAUGCGAGAACUAUGUAAAAA
rnacentral:lncRNA from 1 species